AUCUUAAUAAAAUAUUAAAAUAAAACCUUAAUUAAAUCUCAGUCAAAAUCUAAUCAAACCUUAAUCAAACUUUAGUCAAAUUUUGAUCAAAUCUUUAUCAAAUCCUAAUCAAUUCUUAAAUAAGCCCUAACCAAAUCUUAAACAAAUCCUAAUCAAAUCCUAAAUAAAUCCUAGUCAAAUUUUAGACAAAACCUAGUCAAAUCCUAAUCAAAUCCUAAUCAAAUCCUAAACAAAUCUUAAAUAAGCCUUAAUCAAAACUUAGUCAAAUUUUAAUCAAAUUCUAGUUAAAUUCUAAUCAAAU
rnacentral:lncRNA from 1 species